rnacentral:lncRNA from 1 species
UGAUCUUUUGGGUCAGAAAGGACAAGUUUAGAGUUUCAUUUUUUUUUGUUUUUUGUUUUUUCCUUUCAGAAAACCCAAUCCAGGAAACAACCAAGAGGCCAAAUGACUUUCUCCUUACUGAUAAACAAGAGUAUCUUAAUUCUCUUCUUCUUGACACUGACCAGUUACACAGGCAUUUUCAUCAAUGCCCUUAGGUAUGGAACCAAUCAACCUUACUGUACAGCCUAUGCUUUUUUACCACCAUAUGUAUGCAGCAGAGAAAAUGAUCCUGUCUGUUCCUCAGAUGGCCAGAUAUAUGAUAAUGAAUGUAUUUUUUGCAGUGCUGUUAGGGAAAAUCCUAAGACAAUUAAAUUUAAGCACUUUGGUUACUGCUGACUCCUUGAUGUCACCUACAUUGCCCUGACUAGGAAGUCCUGGGACAUGGUUCACAACUCCUGAUCUUCUCACCUGGUGCCAGGAAAAGCACAAAUUUCUUUGACUCUUUACUGAAAUAUUGCAAGAAAAAUUGUUCUGUUUUUGCUUCUUUUCAAGAUUAAAUAGUUUUCCAAUCCACUUCCUCUAUAUCCCUGGAAUCUCUUUCAAAUAAGCAUGGAGAUUGCCCUUCAGGUGAAGGAUUCUUUCUUGUACAAGCUGUACGGGUCACAGCCUCACUGAUUCUCACUUUUUGAGUAGGUUGACAUAGGGUCCUCUUCCUCACUAGUACAAGCAAAAAGGGAAGUCAAUCUAACUAUGGAAUCCUAAAUAAAGCAUAUGAUCUCAGGGCCCUA